CAGUAGCCGCGGUAAUACGAAGGGGGCUAGCGUUGUUCGGAAUUACUGGGCGUAAAGCGCACGUAGGCGGAUUUUUAAGUCAGGGGUGAAAUCCCGAGGCUCAACCUCGGAACUGCCUUUGAUACUGGAGAUCUUGAGUUCGGAAGAGGUUGGUGGAACAGCUAGUGUAGAGGUGAAAUUCGUAGAUAUUAGCUAGAACACCAGUGGCGAAGGCGGCCAACUGGUCCGAUACUGACGCUGAGGUGCGAAAGCGUGGGGAGCAAAUAGGAUUAGAGACCCCAGUAGUCCCUGUCUCUUAUAC
rnacentral:rRNA from 1 species